UCCAUUUAGUAUUCCGAUCAUUCCCGCAGAACGGUCACAGAGGGAUUGCACGGUGAAAAGAGAAAUGUUCUCCAACAGAGAAGGCACAGUCGGUCGAUUGAGAAAAACACCGUUGAAGCCGCUGGGUCGUGUGCAGGAUGAUUGCUCCUGUGUGGAAGUCGCAUGUACCUGCAGGAAAGGUGCUGUUAGCAAACCGGGGACGCGUACUGAGAUCGGGUGGAAAAGCUUCUGUCAUUAUUAUAAUUCACUUUUAACUCAUCGGCAUCCGGCUGGUUUUCUUGUCGCAUUUGAGGAAUAAAGCAAAAAGCGGCGUCGGCGGGAUCGAUGGAAGGUGACAGGAAAGAAGGUCAAACCGCAUCGAGGGGAAGAGAAGAAGAACACAGCGACGCAGAACAUCAGUACAGAGACACCGACGGGUUCUGAGGGCCGAGUAUUAUUGCUCUUAAUGAGUAGACGAUGGUUAAAGUUUUUAGAGAAGGGGCUGAAGGAUCAUCAGCAUCGAUGCAUUGCAUCAACUGUGUGUGCGCCUCUGAAUCCCAGGACAAAAGCCCCCCCCCUCAAAAAAAAGAGAAGCGAGCCCAAGUUGGCUCCUCUGCAGGACUAAUUAUCUCCUUGGGCUUUUCAUCUUUUCUCAUUUGUGUAAUUCUGCGCUGUAAUCUGGCCCCGGCCUCUUUAUCGCACGGCCGUACGUCCCCCCCCGCACGCCGCCGCCGCCGCACGCACGCACGCCGCAGAUACGGCAGAAAUUAAUACCUGAAGAGAUGUGCGCCGCCGAUAACAUACUUACGUGCAGUGUGAAUGUAUUCCCCCACCAAGAGCCUUUGCCCCCCUCCCUCACCCGCCACACUCCCCCACCCCUCACGAGUGUCUCUCGUGUCGGUGUUCUCCAUUUUGAUUCAUGGAUCCUCGGAGUGAAGGGGUUUCAUCGCAAAGCGGCACGGCAGCAUCUCAACGUGAGAAGCUCGUCUUUAGAAGCGUUUCUUUUCAAUCACACAAUUAAACGAAUCGCAGGUGAUUGAAAUCACGAACUGAUUGAAUAAGAGACGUCCAUCGUGAUAUCGUGCCGUCCUCAGAAUCUGCUUAUUCUCUCAUGCAUUUCCCCAGAGUGACAACUCCGGUUUCUGCACAAACCCUGACCUUGUUUUUAAAACUCCUGAGUGGUCCGAUUGAUCUCCAGACGUUCCGACCGGCGCAGGAAGUGUCUUUUUUUUUUUGUCCCGACAGCCACAGAGACGACAGGGACGAGCGCUCUUCUGCCGCCUGUGAGUGGCGUGUUCGGGGGGGGGGCAGUCGAGUGGCUUGCAGAGAGUCUCAAGUGAGUGAUCGAUGACAGAAGUCAAUUAUCACCUCGCCGAUCCGCCAGAUCUUCGCCGCCCACCUCUGACCGACCAUCAACGCCGCCAGACCAGCCGUUAGCUCCCUGCGCCCUCACAGGGGGGCAGCACCCCCCCUCUACCGUCUUCAUCUUUAAGCCUUCGACAUUUAACAGGCCAAAUUAGGAUUUUCUUCAAUUCUGUGCGAGGUUAGAAAUAAAUAAUUACUUUUGCCAAUGCGGCGUCGGGCGCAGCUCAGGAGGAGAGCGAGGCUUCGACAAUGGCGGAUUUCUGCUGCUCCAAUGAGCCGAGGAGCAUCGCCUCGAACCGAGAGGCUUUGCCGCUCUGCCAAAAGGAGCGGAUCAUAGGAUCCGGCUUAUACCUAACAAACAGAUAUCAGCAUAAUAAAACGCUCUAUUAAUCACAUGAACAAACCCCUCUGUAAGAAGCUUCAGAGCAGAGAUGGAACAGGAAGGGUUGGUGGCUGAAGAAAAGUAAUGUAAUAUAAUGUAAUGCAAUGUGAUGUGAUGCAAUGUAAUGUAUUGUGAUGUAAUGUGGUGUAAUUAAUGUGAGGUAUUGUGAUGUGGUGUAAUGUAAUGUGG